GACGAACGCUGACGGCGUGCUUAACACAUGCAAGUCGAAGGGAGUGGCGAACGGGUGAGUAACACGUGAGUAACCUGCCCUUUUCUUUGGGAAAAGCCUGGGAAACUGGGUCAAAUACUGGAUGGAAUGGGCUGGGCUCGGGGCUUGUCAGCUUGUUGGUGGGGGAAUGGCUUACCAAGGCUUUGACGGGUAGCCGGCCGGAGGGGGUGGUCGGUCACACUGGGACUGAGCUACGGCCCAGACUCCUACGCGGGGGAGAAUUGGGGGAUAUUGCACAAUGGACGGAAGACUGAUGCCGCGACUGCGUGUGGGGGAUGAAGGUCUUCGGGUUGUAAACUCCUUUCGCCCGCGGAAUGGUAGUGGGUAAAGAAGCGCCGGCUAACUACGUGCCAGCAGCCGCGGUAAUAC
rnacentral:rRNA from 1 species